AACAUAAGGUGUUGUCUGUUGCUUCUGAUUAAUCUUGAGAUGGCAUCAUUUAUUAUUGUAAAAUAAUACUGUUUCUGUAUGUUUCUGAAAACAAUAUAGGGGUUAAAUUUUUUGUUUUGGAAAUUAUGAGGAAAAACUCCCCCCUCAUGUUGCACACUAACACAAAUGACCAGUGCGGCAGUGCCUAAAGUUUAUUACAAUUUGUAAUGCCAAUAUAAGCAACCAUUUUUAACACUAGGAAACAUCUUUUUUGUGUUCAAAAAGGGACUUCAAAUGGUAUAUAAAUUGCUUCUUCUCUCAGAUGCCAAGUCAUAUACAUGUAGUAGUAAGGAGUAAGAGAAAAAACUGAUCAAAUUGGAAAUGGGAUAAUGGGACCACAUUAGGGUCUUGUAGCUGUCACCUUGUAAGUCAGCUUCUUAAAUUAACACUGUUUAUGGGACUAGUACACAUAAGCAGGCAGGUAUCUUCAUACCACAUUAAUAUAUAGGCUUAUAUGUAAGUAACACUUGCUGCUGGAUGUAAAAGAUUAAUUAAUAGACUGGUAACAAUGGUUAUAGUAUAACAACCUCACUCAAGUAAUUUUUAUUCACUUUUUGACAAACCAUUCCAUUAAAUAACCCAACAAUAUAAACAGAAAAUAAAAAAAAAUAGUUUCCAUUGUCCUCACUCAAUUUUAAAAUCAAAAUUUAUGAUAUGAAUCCUCCUAUUCAAUGAGUAUGCAGCAUUAUAAACUAAAACAAAUUUCAUAGCUUCCAAAUGUUAUUACAAACUAUAUCAUGCAGCUCCCUGGUGUAGCUUUCCAUCAAUGAAUUUUAAAACUGCAUUUUGCAGUAAAACAUGUACAUGAUGUAUUUUAAUCCCUUUUUGGCAAUAGUUUUCAACGACUUGCAUCUGUGUGUACAUAUCAUGAGUUUAAAUAAAACAGUACCCAGUAGUUGUCUGCAUAUAUUAUCUUCUUUACCUCUACUGCAUGUGAUUAAUAAAUUUAACUAUGAUGAAAAUAAAUUUAUAAAAUAUUAAUUGCCAGCUUUUGGUAUUUAUUUGUGCUGCUUUAACAAACAUCAGUUGAUGUAUUUGUCAAUUUUAUGUUAUCUUAUA
rnacentral:lncRNA from 1 species